rnacentral:rRNA from 1 species
UACAGAGGGUGCGAGCGUUAAUCGGAAUUACUGGGCGUAAAGCGUGCGUAGACGGUAGCGUAAGUCAGAUGUGAAAGCCCCGGGCUCAACCUGGGAAUUGCAUUUGAGACUGCUCUGCUCGGGUGCGGAAGAGGGAAGCGGAAUUUCCGGUGUAGCGGUGAAAUGCGUAGAUAUCGGAAGGAACACCAGUGGCGAAGGCGGCGACCUGGGUAGAUACUGACGCUGAGGCGCGAAAGCGUGGGGAGCAAACAGG